CCUACGGGUGGCUGCAGUGGGGAAUAUUGGACAAUGGGGGCAACCCUGAUCCAGUCAUGCCGCGUGUGUGAAGAAGGCCCUCGGGUUGUAAAGCACUUUCAGUGAGGAAGAACGCCUGGUGGUUAAUACCCAUCAGGAAAGACAUCACUCACAGAAGAAGCACCGGCUAACUCCGUGCCAGCAGCCGCGGUAAUACGGAGGGUGCGAGCGUUAAUCGGAAUUACUGGGCGUAAAGCGCGCGUAGGUGGCUUGAUAAGCCGGUUGUGAAAGCCCCGGGCUCAACCUGGGAACGGCAUCCGGAACUGUCAAGCUGGAGUGCAGGAGAGGAAGGUAGAAUUCCCGGUGUAGCGGUGAAAUGCGUAGAGAUCGGGAGGAAUACCAGUGGCGAAGGCGGCCUUCUGGACUGACACUGACACUGAGGUGCGAAAGCGUGGGUAGCAAACAGGAUUAGAUACCCGUGUAGUC
rnacentral:rRNA from 1 species